GACGAACGCUGGCGGCGUGCCUAAUACAUGCAAGUCGAGCGAAUCAAUAGGAGCUUGCUCCUGUUGGUUAGCGGCGGACGGGUGAGUAACACGUGGGCAACCUGCCUGUAAGACCGGGAUAACACCGGGAAACCGGUGCUAAUACCGGAUAAUCCUUUUCCCCUCAUGAGGAAAAGUUGAAAGUCGGUUUCGGCUGACACUUACAGAUGGGCCCGCGGCGCAUUAGCUAGGUGGUGAGGUAACGGCUCACCAAGGCGACGAUGCGUAGCCGACCUGAGAGGGUGAUCGGCCACACUGGGACUGAGACACGGCCCAGACUCCUACGGGAGGCAGCAGUAGGGAAUCUUCCACAAUGGACGAAAGUCUGAUGGAGCAACGCCGCGUGAGCGAUGAAGGCCUUCGGGUCGUAAAGCUCUGUUGUUAGGGAAGAACAAGUAUCGGAGUAACUGCCGGUACCUUGACGGUACCUAACCAGAAAGCCACGGCUAACUACGUGCCAGCCGCCGCGGUAA
rnacentral:rRNA from 1 species